rnacentral:rRNA from 1 species
GAUGAACGCUGGCGGCGUGCCUAAUACAUGCAAGUCGAGCGAACGGACGAGAAGCUUGCUUCUUUGAUGUUAGCGGCGGACGGGUGAGUAACACGUGGAUAACCUACCUAUAAGACUGGGAUAACUUCGGGAAACCGGAGCUGAUACCGGAUGAUAUUUUGAACCGCAUGGUUCAAAAGUGAAAGACGGUCUUGCUGUCACUUAUAGAUGGAUCCGCGCUGCAUUAGCUAGUUGGUAAGGUAACGGCUUACCAAGGCAACGAUGCAUAGCCGACCUGAGAGGGUGAUCGGCCACACUGGAACUGAGACACGGUCCAGACUCCUACGGGAGGCAGCAGUAGGGAAUCUUCCGCAAUGGGCGAAAGCCUGACGGAGCAACGCCGCGUGAGUGAUGAAGGUCUUCGGAUCGUAAAACUCUGUUAUUAGGGAAGAACAUAUGUGUAAGUAACUGUGCACAUCUUGACGGUACCUAAUCAGAAAGCCACGGCUAACUACGUG